ACUUUGUGAGUAAUUUUUCAUUAAAAUUAAUGCAACAAUAAAACAAAAAUAUGUCUAUUUAUAUACAUAUUGAUCAAAGGUCCCACAAUAACAUGCUGCUGAUACUUUGUGGUACAUUAUAUGAGAAUACAAAAAAAACCUGCAUAUAAUGCACCUAUCAAUGUUAAGUCCCAGAUGUGGGGUAUUUAAUCAUUAAUUGCAUCCCCACCCUAGGGAUUUUG